UACGUAGGGGGCGUAGCGUUAUCCGGAAUUACUGGGCGUAAAGGGCGCGCAGGCGGUAUAUCAAGUCAGCUGUCAAAGACUGGGGCGUCAACCCUCGGUAUGCGGUUGAAACUGAUAUGCUGGAGUGCUGUAGAGGCAAGUGGAAUUCCCAGUGUAGCGGUGAAAUGCGUAGAUAUUGGGAAGAACACCGGUGGCGAAGGCGACUUGCUGGGCAGCAACUGACGCUGAGGCGCGAAAGCCAGGGGAGCAAACGGGGAUUAGAUA
rnacentral:rRNA from 1 species